UACGGAGGGAGCUAGCGUUGUUCGGAAUUACUGGGCGUAAAGCGCGCGUAGGCGGCUUUGUAAGUUAGAGGUGAAAGCCCGGAGCUCAACUCCGGAACUGCCUUUAAGACUGCAUCGCUUGAAUCCGGGAGAGGUGAGUGGAACUGCGAGUGUAGAGGUGAAAUUCGUAGAUAUUCGCAAGAACACCAGUGGCGAAGGCGGCUCACUGGUCCGGUACUGACGCUGAGGUGCGAAAGCGUGGGGAGCAAACAGG
rnacentral:rRNA from 1 species